CAGUCGAGCGGACCGACGGGAGCUUGCUCCCUUAGGUCAGCGGCGGACGGGUGAGUAACACGUGGGUAACCUGCCUGUAAGACUGGGAUAACUCCGGGAAACCGGGGCUAAUACCGGAUGCUUGAUUGAACCGCAUGGUUCAAUCCUAAAAGGGGGCUUUUAACUACCACUUUCAGAUGGACCCGCGGCGCAUUAACUAGUUGGUGAGGUAACGGCUCACCAAGGCGACCAUGCGUAACCCAACUGAGAGGGUGAUCGGCCACACUGGGACUGAAACACGGCCCAGACUCCUACGGGAGGCAGCAGUAGGGAAUCUUCCGCAAUGGACGAAAGUCUGACGGAACAACGCCCCGUGAGUGAUGAAGGUUUUCGGAUCGUAAAACUCUGUUGGUAGGGAAGAACAAGUACCGUUCGAAUAGGGCGGUACCUUGACGGUACCUAACCAGAAAGCCACGGCUAACUACGUGCCAGCAGCCGCGGUAAUACGUAAGUGGCAAGCGUUGUCCGGAAUUAUUGGGCGUAAAGCGCGCGCAGGCGGUUUCUUAAGUCUGAUGUGAAAGCCCCCGGCUCAACCGGGGAGGGUCAUUGGAAACUGGGGAACUUGAGUGCAGAAGAAGAGAGUGGAAUUCCACGUGUAGCGGUGAAAUGCGUAGAGAUGGGAAGAACACCAGUGGCGAAGCGACUCUCUGGUCUGUAACUGACGCUGAGCGCGAAAGCGUGGGAGCGAACAGGAUUAGAUACCCUGGUAGUCCA
rnacentral:rRNA from 1 species